UUUGAGUUAUCUUUUGCAUACAGUGUGAGGUAGGAGUCCAGAUUCAUUCUUUCACAUGUGGAAACCCAGUUGUCCCAGGAAUAAACAGUUAUUCCUGAAGUAUUUAUUCAACAUUCAUUCAGAUGGAGGUAUGUAGAGGGAGGGUAGAUGACUGGGCCUGUGCUAACAGCACUGGACCUCUCUUUUCUGUCCUCAGCAAGGUUUCUCUGCCCAGACAUGCAGGAUUUCUUCAGCAAAGCAAAAGCCCUGCAGAUUACCAGAUCCAUCCUCUCCUAAAGCCAGGGGGACCAUGAGACAUUAGUACCUGAGCAUUACCUCUCUCCAAGUGAUUUAUCAAAGCUUUAUUUCCAAUCACAUACUGAGUUUUGAUAAAACAGUUUUAUUCUUUGGUUUUCUUCUUCUCCUUUUAUUUCCUGUGUGUUUUGAGGCCUCAGCAGUUGAGCUGGUUCACCUUGGAAUCUGACUCUGACAAGCAAAAGGAAGCAGAGUUUGAUCACCUUUCCAGGUAAUACAAGAGUAUUCCUGUAAAGUGAGCCUCUGAAGCUUUGGAGGGGAAGUGUAUUAGUCUGUUUUGCGUUGCUACAAAGGAAUACCUGAGACUGGGUGAUUUAUAAAGAGAAGAGGUUUAUUUGGCCUAUGGUUCUGCAAGCUGUACAAGAAGCAUGGUGCCAACAUCUGCUUCUCGUGAGGACUCAGGAAGCUUCCACUCAUGGCUGAAGGCAAAGGGGAAGCCAGCAUCACAUGGCAAGAGAGGGAGCAAGACAGAGGAGGGGGUGCCAGGCUCCUCUAAACAACCAGAUCUCGUAUGGACUCACAGUGAGAACUCACUCAUUACUUCAAGGACAGCACCAUGACAUUCAUGAGGGGUGCGCCCACAUGACCCAAACACCUCCCACUAGGCCCCACCUCCAACAUUGGAGGUCACAUUUCAACAUGAGAUUUGGAGGUGGCAAAACAUGCAAACCAUAUCAGGGAGGGAGGGGCAGGGUGGUGGAUACAGCUGCACAGACUGGGAAAUGGGCCAGAAGCAGCUUUCCGGCUUGUGUAGGUGCUAGGAAAGACAGGCUGGUAAGAUACAGAAUGCCUUUCGGUCUCCAAGCGUCCAGCUCGGUCUAGAUAAGAUCUGCAUAUAAGGUCAUCUUAUCAGAAGGGUUCUUUGGGUUCUGGAAGCCACACUCUGCCCCUCCACUUUCACAUCUGGAAUAUCAGGACAAUAUUUGACAUGUAGCAUACAUCGGUUCUGGAGCCUAGGAAAUUCCCACCUACCUUCUUCCACCCACUACACUCCUUUCUGUUCCUCCUGAUGCUAGGCUUGUUCCCGCCUCCAAGUCUUCACACUGCUAGCCAUUACUUAUGCCUGGAAUGCUCUCCCCUGGUGUCUAACCUGCCUGAUGCCUCCUCAUCCUUCAGGACUGAGUUAAAUGUCCCCACCUCAGAGAAGCCUUCGCUGACUGCCUUUGCUCCUCCUGGGCCUGGUUGCCCCUAGAUCCACUCUCUGCCCCCCAACACUUAGUUCUAUCCUGCAGGAGCACUGGCUUCCAGCGGAGAGCAGCUGCUGGGGACCACUGACAGGAGACUGGGCAGACAAGGAAAAAGCCCUCUCCUCUCUGUCCCAGGUGGCUUCUUAGGUAGUGGCUAUGUCUUCGUGGUUCCAGCUUCUGCAGAGUGGCGUCCGAACCUGGCUUGGGAAAUACCGCUUUUCCUUUUGCCCCUCCGGCCCAGGCAUGAUUGCAGCAAUUCAGUCACUUGUCCGGGUUCCACUCCUAAUUCUAGUUCUUUUGCUAUUUUCACCACAUCUGCAGUGACUUCUCCCACUGAAGUCUUUAACACUUCAAAGGCAUCCUUGAGGGUUAAAGUCAACUUCUUUCAAACUCCUGUUAAUCUUGAUAUUUUGACCUCUUCCCUGGAAUCACAAAUGUCCUUAGCGGCACAAGAAUGGUGACUCCUUUCUAGAAUGUUUCCAAUUUGCUUUGCCCAGAUCCAUCAGACGAUCUCUCUGUAGCAGCUAUAGCCUUACAAAUUGUAUUUCUUAAAUAAUAAGACUUGAAAGUUGAAAUGACUCCUUAAUCUAUGGGCUGCAGAAUGGAUGCUGUGUUAGCAGGCAUGAAAACAACUUAAUCUCUUUGUACAUCUCCAUCAGGGCUCUUGAGUAACCAGGUGCAUUGUCAAUGAGCUGUAAUAUUUUAAGGGAAUCUUUUUUUUUCUGAGUAGUAGGUCUCAACAGUGGACAUAAAAUAUUCAGUCAACCAUGCUGUAAACAGAUGUGCUGUCAUCAGGCUUUGUUGUUGCAUUUAUACAGCAUAGGCAGAGUAUAUUUAGCAUAAUUCUUAAGGGCGUAGGAUUUUUGGAAUAAUAAACUAGCAUUGGCUUCCACUUAAAGUCACCAACUACAUUAGCCCCUAACAAGAGGGUCAUUUAGUUAUUUGAAGCUUUGAAGCCAGGCAUUGACUUCUCUCUAGUGAUGAAAGUUCUAGAUAACAUCCUGUUCCAAUACAAGGCUGUUUUGCCUACACUGAAAAUCUAUUGUUUAGUGUAGCAACCUUCAUCAAUGAUCUUAGCUAGAUCUUCUGGAUGACGUGCUGCAACUUUUAUAUCAGCAUUUACUGCUUCACUUGCCCUUUUAAGUUAUGCAGAUGGUUUCUUUCAUUAAACCUCAUGAACCAACCCCUGCUAGCUUCCAACUUUUCUUCUGAAGCUUCCUCACCUCUCUCAGUCUUCAUAGAAUUGACGAGAGUUAGGGCAUUGCUCUGGAUUAAGCUUUGGCUCAAGGGAAUGCUGUGGUUAAUUUGAUCUUCUAUCCAGACCACUCAAACUUUCUCCAUAUCAGCAAUAAGGCUGUUUUGCCUUCUUACCACUUAUGUGUUCACCGGAGUAGCACUUUCAAUUUCCUUCAAGAACUUUUCCUUUGCAUUCUCAACUUGGCUAACUGGUGUGAGGGACCUAGCUUUCAGCCUCUCUUGGCUUUCGAUAGGUCUUCCUCGCUAAGCUUAAUCAAUUCUAGCUUUUGAUUUAAAAUGAGAGACAUGCAAUUCCUCCUUUCAUUUGAACACAUAGGGGCCAUUGUAGGGUUAUUAAUUGACCUAAUUUCAAUAUUGUUGUAUCUUUGGGAACAGGGAGGCCUCAGGAUGAGAGUGAUGGGGGAAUAGCUGGUCAGUGGAGCAGUCAGAACACACACAGUAUUUAUUAAGUUUGCCAUCUUGUAUGGGUGUGGUUUAUGGCACCCCCAAACUUUUACAAUAGUAACAUCCAAGAUCACUGAUUAUAGAUCACCAACACAGACAUAAUAACAAUUUUAAAAAAGGGGUUUUUUUCUGAAAUGGAGUCUCGCUCUGUCGCCCAUGCUGGAGUGCAGUGGUGUGAUCUUGGCUGACUGCAACCUCUGCCUCCUGGGUUCAAGAGAUUCUUGUGCCUCAGCCUCCUGAGUAGCUGGGAUUACAGGCGCCCACCACCACACUCGGCUAAUUUUUGUAUUUUUAAUAGAGAAAUGGCCUCGAACUCCUGACCUCAAGUGAUCCACCUGCCUCGGCCUCCCAAAGUGUUGGAAUUACAGGCAUGAGCCACUGCACCUGGCCAAUAAUAAAAAUGUUUGAAGU
rnacentral:sRNA from 1 species